GCUACGGGUGGCAGCAGUCGAGAAUCAUUCACAAUGGGGGAAACCCUGAUGGUGCGACGCCGCGUGGGGGAAUGAAGGUCUUCGGAUUGUAAACCCCUGUCAUGUGGGAGCAAAUUAAAAAGAUAGUACCACAAGAGGAAGAGACGGCUAACUCUGUGCCAGCAGCCGCGGUAAUACAGAGGUCUCAAGCGUUGUUCGGAAUCACUGGGCGUAAAGCGUGCGUAGGCUGUUUCGUAAGUCGUGUGUGAAAGGCGCGGGCUCAACCCGCGGACGGCACAUGAUCCUGCGAGACUAGAGUAAGGGAGGGGGAACCGGAAUUCGCGGUGUAGCAGUGAAAUGCGUAGAUAUUAGGAGGAACACCGGUGGCGAAGGCGGCUUACUGGACAGAAACUGACACUGAGGCUCGAAAGCGUGGGGAGCAAAUAGGAUUAGAUACCCGAGUAGUC
rnacentral:rRNA from 1 species